GGAAGUAAAAGUCGUAACAAGGUCUCCGUUGGUGAACCAGCGGAGGGAUCAUUACCGAGUUUACAACUCCCAAACCCAAUGUGAACGUUACCAAACUGUUGCCUCGGCGGGGUCACGCCCCGGGUGCGUAAAAGCCCCGGAACCAGGCGCCCGCCGGAGGAACCAACCAAACUCUUUCUGUAGUCCCCUCGCGGACGUAUUUCUUACAGCUCUGAGCAAAAAUUCAAAAUGAAUCAAAACUUUCAACAACGGAUCUCUUGGUUCUGGCAUCGAUGAAGAACGCAGCGAAAUGCGAUAAGUAAUGUGAAUUGCAGAAUUCAGUGAAUCAUCGAAUCUUUGAACGCACAUUGCGCCCGCCAGUAUUCUGGCGGGCAUGCCUGUCCGAGCGUCAUUUCAACCCUCGAACCCCUCCGGGGGAUCGGCGUUGGGGAUCGGGACCCCUCACCGGGUGCCGGCCCUGAAAUACAGUGGCGGUCUCGCCGCAGCCUCUCCUGCGCAGUAGUUUGCACAACUCGCACCGGGAGCGCGGCGCGUCCACGUCCGUAAAACACCCAACUUCUGAAAUGUUGACCUCGGAUCAGGUAGGAAUACCCGCUGGACUUAAGCAUAUCAAUAAGCGGAGGA
rnacentral:rRNA from 1 species